rnacentral:rRNA from 1 species
AUGGCUGGCGUGGCCAUUGACCCGGGGUUCUCCCUGCGCCGCACCACUACUCAUGCCAAGGAGCGUCGUGUUGCUGUUCCGGUGACGAGGGAGGCCGAGAAGCUGGUUUGUCGGAGCCUCGGGAUAGUCCAAGAUGGCAAGGAUGUCACCAAAGACGCUCUGGAAGAGCUGAGUCGCCGCUUCCAGCACGAAUUGUCGCCCUCGGUUCUGUCCGCGCUCCGGGCAUUGUUCAAGCUCGACGACGACGAAGCCACAGCGAUUGAAGACGCCCUGAUCAGCCGCGGAGGUCAGGCUGCCAUGGACCACGAGAUUGUUGCUGCUGAUGCAACAGGAGAGGUCUGA